UACGGAGGGUGCGAGCGUUAAUCGGAAUUACUGGGCGUAAAGCGUGCGCAGGCGGUUUGUUAAGCGAGAUGUGAAAGCCCCGGGCUCAACCUGGGAACCGCAUUUCGAACUGGCAAACUAGAGUCUUGUAGAGGGGGGUAGAAUUCCAGGUGUAGCGGGGAAAUGCGUAGAGAUCUGGAGGAAUACCGGUGGCGAAGGCGGCCCCCUGGACAAAGACUGACGCUCAGGCACGAAAGCGUGGGGAGCAAACAGG
rnacentral:rRNA from 1 species